UUGCACAGGGAAUACCCAAGUGUGCUUUAUAGUUUCCUUGGCUUUGACCCUGUGCUAGAGCAUUACCUGUUCUUCUCCUCUGCAUUGAAAGGAAUAUUUAUCCUUUUAAAUGUAUUCUGAAAGCCAGCACAUUA
rnacentral:snoRNA from 8 species